rnacentral:lncRNA from 1 species
CAGCCACACCUGUGGCAUAUGGAAGUUCCUGAGCUAGGGGUGGAAUCGAAGUUGCAGCUGCUAGCCCACGCCACAGCCAGGGCGACACCGGAUCCAAGCUGCAUCUGAGACCUAUGGCCCAGCUUGUGGCAACUCUGAUACUUAACUCACUGAGCGAGGCCAGGGCUCAAACCUGCAUCCUCACAGACACUAUGUUGGGUUUUUAACCCACUGAAUCACAAUGGGAACUCCAGCCAUUUCAUUUUUAAAAUUAAAAUCAUGACGUAUAUAGAGCAACCUGUUCAUAGAAAGCACUAGCAUUUUUUCUCCUCUUUGUCAAAAGGGGAGUAUCUUUAUUAUUUUAAAUCAUUGUCUUUAUAUUCUCAUUUCUUCAACGCCAUUCAUUAUAGGUUAUUUCUAAAACUCAAGAUCAGCAGAUACUGAUGUUUUUAUAUAUUUCAUACACGAUUUUCACAGACAUCACACAGAUAAUUUCACCUUUAAAUUGAUUUUACCAUGUUUUCAUUUUUUUCACUCUACUGUGGGUAGAAAGUAUUUACGACAAGAUGUUCUUUAUGACUUGCAAAAUUGUUUCUGCCAUUCUGGUAAGAUAUUUAUUUUUUAAAUAAAUGUUCUCAUGAUAGUACCAAAUGAUGCUAUAAGUAAGGAUUUUGUUGAUGAUGCUGUUGUUUCUGUUUUAUUUCUUUUUAAUUUGCUAUGUUGUUCCUCUAGUCAUUAGUUCUUAAGAGAUUUGAUUUUAGGACUAAAGGCCCUGAAAGCAAGUAAUAAUAUUCUAGCAUUGGUUUCACAAGAGAAUUUACCAUUUAUUUGCAGAUAUUCUCCAGAAGCCAGCAUAUGGAGUUACUGGUCCAGGGAUCCAGAUGAAAGCCACAACUAUGGCAACACCAGAUCCCCAACCCACUGCACUGGGCCGGGGAUUGAACCUGGGGAUCGAACCUGCAUUCCAGUGCCCCCAAGAUGCCAUUGAUCCUGCUGUGCCACAGUGAGAACUCCCAUAAAUUAAAAAAAAAGAAUAGAGUAAAACAAAAUAAAUGCAAAGAAGCUGUAUUCAGUAUGGCAUGUGUACAGGUUCAGCUCCUGUAGGAGAUUUUUGUGUGUUGCAAUUUAUCAUAAGAAAGAGCACAUGAGUUUCUAUCUACCUGUAAACACUCCCUGAUGCUAGUCACUCUGUAGAUAAUUAGGAAAUAUUUAUGUUAAGUAUCUUUAUACUUAAAAUAUUCAUCUUAAGUAUAAUCUAUUGGAUAAGUAUUUUAUCCAAUAGAUUUUCCUGCCUGGUUGUGACUGGCACUGACUCUUUUCCCAAUGGCUGUUUACUGGGCUCACACUGAUAUUAGAGUGGUUCCAGAACUAGAAAAUGUCUCCUGAGUUUUAACUUUUGAAGAGCUCCAAGCCAGAGUUGAGAGAAGCAGCUAUCAGCAAUUGUUGGGUAUCUGCAUAUGUAAUGCAGUUUGCAGUAGCUUAUCAAUCAGGUUGCUAAUUGGUUGGUUGAGACCCUUCCUGUUGUCUUCUUUACUAAUCUACUAGAUUGCACUGACCAUAGAUUAUCUGUGAUGUUCAUUUUAAUCUUAUAUAACUAGCAUGAAUGGCCAUACUUGGGACAGGAGGUUUUCUAUUUUCUCUAAGCACAGAAAUGUUCUGGGGUGGGCUAAGGAGCUUUGGAUUAAGACCCAGAAGAACCUGAAAUGGUAGAUUGACUUGAUCAACUUGAUCCUUGAUACUGAGGCUCUGAUGAUGAUGACUGAUACACAAAAUCUACUACGUAUCAACCCGUUCUCUUUGCCCUCUAGGAGUGGAUUAGACGGGAGACCCCGAUUGGGGGCCCAUCUCAAUGCUUUCUCCACCAGCCAUUGCUUAAUGUUAACCUCAGAUGGAUGAUCCUCACCCUCCCUAGAACUGGGGUUUUAUCCAAAACACCCGUCUCCUAUAAGUCAUGAUAUAAAACAAAUACACAGUGUUUUGCAUCUUAGUAUUUGAGUAUGCAUGUGUGGCAUGCCAUUUUGAAAAUUAAAAUUCUCCAAAGUUAAAUGACUUAUCAUGAUUGUUAUAAUACAUCACUAGACUUUUCUAAUUACAUUAAUAUAAAGCCCUAUUUAAGGAAUACAGUCUAAGAAUGACUAGUCUUUUUAAGCCAUUACAGAAAGUUGUUAUGAUUUUUGAAAAAAUUAAAUAAAUUCCAAAUGCUCUAAAAGAGCUCAGAGUCUGUUUCCCAUUCCAUUAGCUGAGAUAGAUCAGGAGUACUAUGGUUUUCUACACACACACUCAAAACCAGUACUCCCCAAAUUGUUCAUAUACCAGCACACAUAGAGAAUGAUGGAGAAAAGUGGAGUCUGCUUUCAGCCUGAGAUGAAUGACCCCAGGGACUCUGAACAUCUAAAGUCUCCCCUAGUAGCCCUGAGGGCUGAGGGGGUCAAUAAUUCGGCAUAUCUGUGACCUGUGCUAUGCAUGCCACACCAGGACUCAGGAUGAAAGCACAGUAUUAAAUUUACGCAAAUGCACAUGAAAAGAUUCAGAACACUAUUAGAUGUUUAGGAAAUGCAAACCGAAAUGACAAUUUGCUACCACUUCACACCCAUGAGGAUGACUAGAAUGAAAUAAAACUUGAAAACAAAACAAAAUACAAGAAGCACUGGUGAGGACAUGGAGAAUUUGGAACCCUCGUACAGUGCUAAUGAGAAUGUAAAAUGGUUCAGCCAUUUUACUGUUGGACAAGCUAAACAGAGAAUUAGCAUAUGACCCUGCCAUUCCACUCCUAGAUAUAUGCCC